AGGACGAACGCUGGCGGCGUGCUUAACACAUGCAAGUCGAGCGAGGCCCUUCCUUCGGGAAGGUGCCCUAGCGGCGAACGGGUGAGUAACACGUGGGCAACCUGCCCCUAGCACUGGGAUAACCCCGGGAAACCGGGGCUAAUACCAGAUACGACCACCGAGGACAUCCUUGGUGGUGGAAAAGAUUCUGGCUAGGGAUGGGCCCGCGGCCUAUCAGCUUGUUGGUGGGGUAAUGGCCUACCAAGGCGACGACGGGUAGCCGGCCUGAGAGGGCGACCGGCCACACUGGGACUGAGACACGGCCCAGACUCCUACGGGAGGCAGCAGUGGGGAAUAUUGCACAAUGGGCGAAAGCCUGAUGCAGCGACGCCGCGUGAGGGAUGACGGCCUUCGGGUUGUAACCUCUUUCAGCAGGGACGAAGCGAAAGUGACGGUACCUGCAGAAGAGCACCGGCCAACUACGCGCCAGCAGCCGC
rnacentral:rRNA from 1 species